rnacentral:misc_RNA from 1 species
UUUCCGUAGGUGAACCUGCGGAAGGAUCAUUCAUAAUAAGUGUUUUAUGGCACUUUUUAAAUCCAUAUCCACCUUGUGUGCAAUGUCAGUCGUUCGCUUCUAUGGGAACGACCAAACAUCAACAAACUCUUUAACUCUUUGUCUGAAAAAUAUUACGAAUAAAAUAAGUCAACAUACAACUUUCAACAACGGAUCUCUUGGCUCUC